UCUCCCUCAGGCUCAUGUUGCUUAGCAGUGUGGGAGCAACCAAUAAAGCACCAUGAGAGGCUGCCUACAGGGCCAAGGCCACUGCCCAGCACCUGUUCCUUCUGGCAACCCCCAGGCUGGCUGCAGGCUGCAUGCACACCCCAGGGUGGACUCGGCUGUUGCUCUGUCAUCCAUCAGCACAAGCUUGAGGUGGGACCUCACAUCCCAGCUGAUACACCUGGAUGUCUCUGUCUCGGGGUUUCUGUGUAACCGCCCCGGCUGUCCUGGCGUGGAGGCACACAUCUGCAAUCUCAGCACUGGGGAGAUGAGAUGGGACGAUCUCCGGGGCUCACUGGCCAGCCAGCCUAGCUGAAUCAGUGAGAUCCAGGCCAGUGAGAGAUGCUGUCUCACAAAACAAGGUGGACAGCUGUCCUGAGGAAUGACCUCAAGGUGGACCUCCGGCUUCUACAUGCACACACCCACGUGUGCACAUGCACCUACCAUUACCAGCACAUACUCGCACAUGUAUACAUACAUUGGUGAAUUCCACAAAACUGCUUGAAAAAGGAACCAAAUACAAAAAGAGGCAUCUCCUCUAACCUUUGUGGAGAAAGUCAAAUUGAGGCAACACUCAUCUGAGCUUCAGAAAGACGGGACAGUGGCCACUCAGGGCGGACACAGACGGCUUCUGAGAGGACUGCUGUCUCCUGGGCUGGCUGGGCUGGCUUGGCCUGGGAGGCCCCCUGAGCUGUGAACCUAUGAUUGGCAUGUUUUUCUGUUUGUGCUAGACUUCAAUUAAGUUCAGCUAAAUAAAAAGAAGAAGGUCCACUGGCUGA